rnacentral:rRNA from 1 species
UACGUAGGGUGCAAGCGUUGUCCGGAAUUAUUGGGCGUAAAGGGCUCGUAGGCGGUCCAUCGCGUCGGGAGUGAAAAGCUGGGGCUUAACCCCAGUCCUGCUUCCGAUACGGGUGGACUAGAGGUAGGUAGGGGAGAACGGAAUUCCUGGUGUAGCGGUGAAAUGCGCAGAUAUCAGGAGGAACACCAAUGGCGAAGGCAGCUCGCUGGAACGGUACUGACGCUGAGGCGCGAAAGCGUGGGGAGCAAACAGG